rnacentral:rRNA from 1 species
UACGUAGGGGGCAAGCGUUGUUCGGAAUUACUGGGCGUAAAGGGCUCGUAGGUGGCCAACUAAGUCAGACGUGAAAUCCCUCGGCUUAACCGGGGAACUGCGUCUGAUACUGGAUGGCUUGAAUCCGGGAGAGGGAUGCGGAAUUCCAGGUGUAGCGGUGAAAUGCGUAGAUAUCUGGAGGAACACCAAUAGCGAAGGCAGCUCGCUGGGACGGUACUGACGCUAAGGCGCGAAAGCGUGGGGAGCGAACAGG